CUACGGGGCGCAGCAGUUAGGCAUCUUCUGCAAUGCGCGAAAGCGUGACAGAGCGAACCAAAGUGCGUCUCAAUGAGACGCUUUUGCCAAAUCCAAAAAGUUUGGCGAAUAAGGACUGGGUAAGACUAGUGCCAGCCGCCGCGGUAAUACUAGCGGUCCAAGUCGCAGCCAUCAUUAUUGGGUCUAAAACAUCCGUAGCUUGCUUAAUAAGUUUCUUGUGAAAUCUUAUAUCUCAAGUAUAAGGCGCGCAAGAAGUACUGUUAAGCUAGAGAUUGGAAGACGUAGGAAGUACAAUCAAAGUAGCGGUAACAUGUGUUGAUCUUGGUUGGACUCACAACAGCGAAGGCAUCCUACGAGUACAGUUCUGACAGUAAGGGAUGAAGGCUAGGGGCGCAAAAUGGAUUAGAUACCCUGGUAGUC
rnacentral:rRNA from 1 species